UCUGUGGGUUCAUUUCUAGGCUUGCUGCGAGUGAAGACACGUGUCGCAGUGCUCGAAUUUUGAGGGAAAGCUUUGGACUUAGACGGAUCCGAUGCAGAAACUUCAUUGACCUGAGCAUUUCUACCCCGGGUCAUAUUGUCCUUGGAUAACGAUCUAACUCCUGCACCGGUCAUGGCGUUUUUAUAAUCGAAGCGGAGAUUACGCCAGAUGAUGUCGAACUUCCUACGAUCUGAGAUUGGCCGGGUCAUCGAGUGGAAAAUUUUCAUCAUAUCAUGAAGAUAAUCAGUAAAUUUCUCACCCCUGG